GCAUGCGAUCAUACCAGCACUAAAGCACCGGAUCCCAUCAGAACUCCGAAGUUAAGCGUGCUUGGGCGAGAGUAGUACUAGGAUCGGUGACCUACUGGAAAGUUCUCGUGUUGCAUUCG
rfam:Triticum aestivum genome assembly, contig: Triticum_aestivum_CS42_TGACv1_scaffold_328229_4BS